CAACCAAAUCCGUCGGUCACCGAAUUCAGUAAUCUCCGUCUCUUUGUCCAUUCUCUCUGACAAGCAUGUUCUCCUAUGGGACACGAAGUACAUGAAGAGGAAUGAAGAAGCCCAUGUUUGAUGCUCGUCUCCAGGGUGGAGAAUUUAAUUUAUAAGUAAUGAAGUGGCAUCUGACACGUGACAAGCUGCUCCUGUUUGCACAGCAACUUCAACAUUGUGUACUGUGAUCACGGCCUAGUUCAGAGAUCUGGUGUCCCAGUACGGGAUAGAGACCAUCGUUCUGUUUAACAAGAGGAUAGUUGUGCAUCAUCUAUGACUGGCGGCUCAGCAGGAAUUCAACAGGUUCUUGAAAUGGAAACCUCUGUUGCAUUAGACCCAAUUCUGAUAUUAUGACCGAACCCUAAAGCACUUAAUAUUUUUAUGAUAUUUUAUUUAUGUAUUUUGAAUGUUGUGCAAAGACCCCAGAUGGUCACUGUUCCACUUGUAUUCCAGUGGCCAU